AUUGAACGCUGGCGGCAGGCUUAACACAUGCAAGUCGAGCGGAGAGAGGUAGCUUGCUACUGAUCUUAGCGGCGGACGGGUGAGUAAUGCUUAGGAAUCUGCCUAUUAGUGGGGGACAACAUUUCGAAAGGAAUGCUAAUACCGCAUACGUCCUACGGGAGAAAGCAGGGGAUCUUCGGACCUUGCGCUAAUAGAUGAGCCUAAGUCGGAUUAGCUAGUUGGUGGGGUAAAGGCCUACCAAGGCGACGAUGUGUAGCGGGUCUGAGAGGAUGAUGCGCCACACUGGGACUGAGACACGGCCCAGACGCCUACGGGAGGCAGCAGUGGGGAAUAUUGGACAAUGGGCGCAAGCCUGAUCCAGCCAUGCCGCGUGUGUGAAGAAGGCCUUAUGGUUGUAAAGCACUUUAAGCGAGGAGGAGGCUACUUUAGUUAAUACCUAGAGAUAGUGGACGUUACUCGCAGAAUAAGCACCGGCUAACUCUGUGCCAGCCGCCGCGGUAAAAC
rnacentral:rRNA from 1 species